CAAGGACUUUAGACCAAGGCUGUCAUCUAUACAUCUUAGGUUGUUGAAGUUGGAGUCAAAGAAGAGCUCUGAUGUAGAUAACAGCAGUGGGCUUGGACAUUCACUAAUGGAAAAUUACAAAGAAAUUCGGAAGAAAAGCAUUGUAGUUCACUGCAUAACAAAGGGAAAAAUUUUAUGUGAAGAUCAUGUAAAAAAUUUUAAAUUAAAAAGACUACAGCAGUUGGAGACUAGGAGGAGGGGUCCACAGGUUUUACCAGAUUAUUAAAGAGUCUCUGACAUGCUAAAAUGUUAAGAACCUCUGAAUUUGAUGAUCUCUGAAUGAUUUGGUUCAAGCCCUUCAUUUUAUAGGUAAGAAACUAAGGUGAGAGAAGUUAAAUCUUUUCUAAUAAAGUUAGCCAGAUGACAAAGCUGAGAUUUGAACCCAAGUUCUCUGAUUCCAAAUCCAUUUGUUCUUCUUCUAGAUAUACACCUAAUCAGAAGUAGUAUAUGUGGUCUUGAGCUCAUAUGUUUAGGCCCAUUGUGAUAGCAUAACUCCUUUGCAUGUGUUUUCCAUUAAUUCCAGGA